rnacentral:rRNA from 1 species
CCCUGUGGAACCCUAAACGGCCGCGGCACAAAACCGUGCAAAGGUAGCACAAUCACUUGUCCCUUAAAUGAGGACCCGUAUGAAAGGCAACAUGAGAGAAAUCCUGUCUCCUAAGGUCGGCCAAUGAAAUUGAUCCAUCAGUACAAAAGCUGAUAUAUUUAAGCAAGACAAAAAGACCCUAUGGAACUUUAACGAGUUGUUUACACACAAUAAACAAUAAUUUCAGUUGGGAUAACUUUAGAAAAAAUAAACCUCUAACAUCAUCAAGACCAACCAGUCUUAUCACACCACAUACGACCCAGUAACACUGACUAACGAAACAAGCUACCCUAGGGAUAACAGCGCCACCUUCUCAAAGAGUCCAUAUCAACAAGAAGAUCUACGACCUCGAUGUUGGAUCAGGGUACCCAGACGGUGCAGCAGCUGUCAAC